AGGAAAUCUAAGCUUUUAUGAAGAAAUUCUUUCUCUCACUAAAAAAACUCUUGCAGAGAGUCUUGAAAAUCAUUUAUACUAGAUUCAGGACUUCAAAUCUCUUGAAUUAUAUUGAAGGAAUCUUUGAGUACUGUUGAGAGUUCCAUUGAAUAGUGAGAAAGUACAAUUAUUUUAAUCUUUUGAAGGACACUACUUUCACGUGAAGUGUUUUGUCUUGUCAUCUUUGAAUCUUUUUUAAGGACAAUAAUUUCAUAUAUUCCUGUUUCAUAUAAUAAUUUUGCUUUUGAUUGAUGGAAAANNNNNNNNNNNNNNNNNNNNNNNNNNNNAACUUUUGAGGCGGUAAGCAUAAUUGAAAGAGGAUAAUACUCCUUGAGCUUUAAACCCUGUGUCUUCAGUAUUCAUACAAAUACAUAUAGUCAUUUUGAAUUUUUCUUAGUUUUUUGAGCAAUUUCUUGAGCAAUAAGUUCAUCCAUAUCUAUCCUAUAGCAAUCAUCUUCAUUACUUUAGGAAUAGUCUGUUUGUGAACCUUUUUGAAAAGAACUUUCUUAAAUUAAUUUUGAUCCAUUGAAGUGGAUUUCACAAACAAUUGCUAAUUCCUCUUGUCUUUUGCAUUGAUCAAACAUAGCCGAAAGUCUCGAUUUUUCAGCAAGAAAAUCAGCCUAUUUUUCUUGCUCUUUCUUUGAUAUUUUUGGAACUCCAAUACUUCAUCGUUCUUGGAUCCAUAAAUUUACUGCCUUAGGACAACAAUUUGUUUAAUAAAACUUUGACCACCAUUUGAUUUUGAAUCUCCGAACUAUCUUCUUAGCAUUGAAUUCAGAGACUGGCUUUUGAAUGAUGUGAAAGUACCAAUGAAAAAUCCAUGAGACUUUAAGAUUGAAGGCAAAUUGAAACAAAACAUUUUCUUGAGGCCUUAAAAAUUGUUUUGCCUCAAAUUUGAAAUGUUCAAACCAUUGGUGAGUAAGACUAGUUAAAAUAGUCUCAUCAAGUCCAAAAUAUUUGAAGCAUGUUUGAAAGAAUUUUAGAAAGUUUGAAGGACAUACUAGAUUGAAAAGAAUAUACCAAGAAUGAGAAAUUGGUCUAAAAUAAAAGAUAUUGAAUCAAGCGUCCUUUUAAUCGAAAUAAUUGAAUCAAGAUUCGAAUGUUUCAUCUUUUUUCUACCACUAGCACCAUAAAGAUGCUCAAUAGUUUUCUCAAAAUAUUUUGUAGGGAUUAAUCCUUCUCUAAUACAAUUUUGAUAAGCUCCUAAAUCAAUUAAGACUCUGGAGGUUAAUUUGAAUUUUUUAUUGACAACAAUAGUCAUGAUACAAUACCAUUUUUGAAGUUGAAUACAGUUAAUGACAUUAACCUUUUCNUCAUCAACUUGAGGAAUGGAAUGAUGGGGAGUAUUUUGAGUAUCAUCUUCUUCGUUUGAAAUAGGGAAAUCGUGAUUAGAGACGUAUUCUUUUUCUAAAUCUUUUGCUUUUAAAAAUACGACUUCUAAAUAAACAUCUUUCAUCUGACGUUAAAGUGUUGAAAUUUGAGAUUUCAUAUCAUUCAUUUAUGAUCUUAAAUUACAACUAGAAGUUUUUGAAACGUUUAAAGAUUCAGUUUUAAAACCGAUUUAAUAUAUUUUGCAUAUUAAAGGGCUCAACUAAAGAUUUUGAUGGCAAAAGAUAAUAGAACAUUUUCUUUAGUUAAG
rnacentral:lncRNA from 1 species